GAUGAACGCUGGCUGCGUGCUUAACACAUGCAAGUCGAACGGAAAGGCUCCUGUUUGCAGGGGUACUCGAGUGGAAAACGGGAGAAUAACACGUGUGAGAUCUGCCCUGCUCUUUGAUAUAACCCUGAAAAAGUGGCUCUAAUACCAUAUAAGACCACUUCUUGGAUGUUGGGGUGAAAAGUUUUUUCUGUGUGAUAUGAUCUCGCGCUCUAUCAUCUUGGUGGGGGGAAAAUGCUCUACCAAGGCCUACACGGAUACCCGGUCUGAGAGGGUGUACGGCCACUUUGACACUGAUAUACCGCCCACACUCCUACGAGAGGCAACAGUGGAAAAUAUUGCACAGUGGGCGCAAGUCAGAUGCAGACACCCCGCGUGGGAUAUGACGCUCUUCGGUGUGUAAUCUCCUUUCCCCAGAGAAAAAGCAAAUGUGACUGCUCCUAGAUAAAAAGCACCGUAUAUAUACGUGCCAACACCCGCGAUAAUACAUAGGGUGAGAGCUUUGUCCAAAAUCUACUGGGCAUAAAGAUCUCAUAUGUGGUGUGUCGCGUCUUUUGUAUAAUACCACAUCUUAUGUGUGGUGGUGCAGGCGAUACGGGCAUAACUUGAGUGCUGUAGGGGAGACUGGAAUUCCUGGUGUAGCGGUGGAAUGCGCAGAUAUCAGGAGGAACACCGAUGGCGAAGGCAGGUCUCUGGGCAGUAACUGACGCUGAGGAGCGAAAGCAUGGGUAGCGAACAGGAUUAGAUACCCUGGUAGUCCAUGCCGUAAACGGUGGGCGCUAGGUGUGAGUCCCUUCCACGGGGUUCGUGCCGUAGCUAACGCAUUAAGCGCCCCGCCUGGGGAGUACGGCCGCAAGGCUAAAACUCAAAGGAAUUGACGGGGGCCCGCACAAGCGGCGGAGCAUGUGGAUUAAUUCGAUGCAACGCGAGGAACCUUACCUGGGCUUGACAUACACUAGAUCGCUGCAGAGAUGCAGUUUCCCUUGUGGCUGGUGUACAGGUGGUGCAUGGUUGUCGUCAGCUCGCGUCGUGAGAUGUUGGGUUAAGUCCCGCAACGAGCGCAACCCUUGUCUUAUGUUGCCAGCAUUUGGUUGGGGACUCAUGAGAGACUGCCGGGGUUAACUCGGAGGAAGGUGGGGAUGACGUCAAAUCAUCAUGCCCCUUAUGUCCAGGGCUUCACACAUGCUACAAUGGUCGGUACAACGCGCAGCGACACUGCAAGGUGGAGUUAAUCGCUGAAAGCCGGUCUUAGUUCGGAUUGGGGUCUGCAACUCGACCCCAUGAAGUCGGAGUCGCUAGUAAUCGUAGAUCAGCAACGCUGCGGUGAAUACGUUCCCGGGCCU
rnacentral:rRNA from 1 species